AGUGAACGCUGGCGGUAGGCCUAACACAUGCAAGUCGAACGGCAGCACAGUAAGAGCUUGCUCUUACGGGUGGCGAGUGGCGGACGGGUGAGGAAUACAUCGGAAUCUACUUUUUCGUGGGGGAUAACGUAGGGAAACUUACGCUAAUACCGCAUACGACCUACGGGUGAAAGCAGGGGAUCUUCGGACCUUUCGCGAUUGAAUGAGCCGAUGCCGGAUUAGCUAGUUGGCGGGGUAAAGGCCCACCAAGGCGACGAUCCGUAGCUGGUCUGAGAGGAUGAUCAGCCACACUGGAACUGAGACACGGUCCAGACUCCUACGGGAGGCAGCAGUGGGGAAUAUUGGACAAUGGGCGCAAGCCUGAUCCAGCCAUACCGCGUGAGUGAAGAAGGCCUUCGGGUUGUAAAGCCCUUUUGUUGGGAAAGAAAAGCAGCAGGUUAAUACCCCGCUGUUCUGACGGUACCCAAAGAAUAAGCACCGGCUAACUUCGUG
rnacentral:rRNA from 1 species